GGGGAAUUUUGGACAAUGGGCGAAAGCCUGAUCCAGCAAUGCCGCGUGUGUGAAGAAGGCCUUCGGGUUGUAAAGCACUUUUGUCCGGAAAGAAAUCCUUGGCUCUAAUACAGUCGGGGGAUGACGGUACCGGAAGAAUAAGCACCGGCUAACUACGUGCCAGCAGCCGCGGUAAUACGUAGGGUGCGAGCGUUAAUCGGAAUUACUGGGCGUAAAGCGUGCGCAGGCGGUUUGCUAAGACCGAUGUGAAAUCCCCGGGCUCAACCUGGGAACUGCAUUGGUGACUGGCAGGCUAGAGUAUGGCAGAGGGGGGUAGAAUUCCACGUGUAGCAGUGAAAUGCGUAGAGAUGUGGAGGAAUACCGAUGGCGAAGGCAGCCCCCUGGGCCAAUACUGACGCUCAUGCACGAAAGCGUGGGGAGCAAAC
rnacentral:rRNA from 1 species